AUUGAACGCUGGCGGCAGGCUUAACACAUGCAAGUCGAGCGGAGAUGAGGUGCUUGCACCUUAUCUUAGCGGCGGACGGGUGAGUAAUGCUUAGGAAUCUGCCUAUUAGUGGGGGACAACAUUCCGAAAGGAAUGCUAAUACCGCAUACGUCCUACGGGAGAAAGCAGGGGAUCUUCGGACCUUGCGCUAAUAGAUGAGCCUAAGUCGGAUUAGCUAGUUGGUGGGGUAAAGGCCUACCAAGGCGACGAUCUGUAGCGGGUCUGAGAGGAUGAUCCGCCACACUGGGACUGGGACACGGCCCAGACUCCUACGGGAGGCAGCAGUGGGGAAUAUUGGACAAUGGGGGGAACCCUGAUCCAGCCAUGCCGCGUGUGGGAAGAAGGCCUUAUGGUUGUAAAGCACGUUAAGCGAGGAGGAGGCUACUGAGACUAAUACUCUCGGAUAGUGGACGUUACUCGCAGAAUAAGCACCGGCUAACUCUGUGCCAGCCGCCGCAGUAA
rnacentral:rRNA from 1 species